rnacentral:rRNA from 1 species
GUGACUGCGUACCUUUUGUAUAAUGGGUCAGCGACUUAUAUUCUGUAGCAAGGUUAACCGAAUAGGGGAGCCGGAGGGAAACCGAGUCUUAAUUGGGCGUUAAGUUGCAGGGUAUAGACCCGAAACCCGGUGAUCUAGCCAUGGGCAGGUUGAAGGUUGGGUAACACUAACUGGAGGACCGAACCGACUAAUGUUGAAAAAUUAGCGGAUGACCUGUGGCUGGGGGUGAAAGGCCAAUCAAACCGGGAGAUAGCUGGUUCUCCCCGAAAGCUAUUUAGGUAGCGCCUCGUGAAUUCAUCUCCGGGGGUAGAGCACUGUUUCGGCUAGGGGGCCAUCCCGGCUUACCAACCCGAUGCAAACUGCGAAUACCGGAGAAUGUUAUCACGGGAGACACACGGCGGGUGCUAACGUCCGUCGUGAAGAGGGAAACAACCCAGACCGCCAGCUAAGGUCCCAAAGUCAUGGUUAAGUGGGAAACGAUGUGGGAAGGCCCAGACAGCCAGGAUGUUGGCUUAGAAGCAGCCAUCAUUUAAAGAAAGCGUAAUAGCUCACUGGUCGAGUCGGCCUGCGCGGAAGAUGUAACGGGGCUAAACCAUGCACCGAAGCUGCGGCAGCGACACUCAGGUGUUGUUGGGUAGGGGAGCGUUCUGUAAGCCUGUGAAGGUGGCCUGUGAGGGUUGCUGGAGGUAUCAGAAGUGCGAAUGCUGACAUAAGUAACGAUAAAGCGGGUGAAAAGCCCGCUCGCCGGAAGACCAA